rnacentral:rRNA from 1 species
GGCUCAGGAUGAACGCUGGCGGCGUGCUUAACACAUGCAAGUCGAACGAAGCAUUUAAGACAGAUUACUCGGUUUGAAGUCUUUUAUGACUGAGUGGCGGACGGGUGAGUAACGCGUGGGUAACCUGCCUCAUACAGGGGGAUAGCAGCUGGAAACGGCUGGUAAUACCGCAUAAGCGCACAGUGCCGCAUGGCACGGUGUGAAAAACUCCGGUGGUCUGGGAUGGACCCGCGUCCGAUUAGUUAGUUGGUGGGGUAACGGCCCACCAAGACUGCGAUCGGUAGCCGACCUGAGAGGGUGACCGGCCACAUUGGGACUGAGACACGGCCCAGACUCCUACGGGAGGCAGCAGUGGGGAAUAUUGCACAAUGGAGGAAACUCUGAUGCAGCGACGCCGCGUGAGCGAAGAAGUAUUUCGGUAUGUAAAGCUCUGUCAGCAGGGAAGAUAAUGACGGUACCUGACCAAGAAGCCCCGGCUAACUACGUG